AAGUCGUAACAAGGUUUCCGUAGGUGAACCUGCGGAAGGAUCAUUAACACGUAUCCAAACGUAAAAAACCCCCCCCGUGAACAUUCAAUCCUGCUCUUGUAACCCGCGUAGUUCGCAAUCUCUGGUAAAUCAUAGCCCGGAAAGUAGUUUUGAUUCAGAGACCUCUGGCUACGUGAGAACAUUGGAACAGUUACAAUCGAGCGGUAGUUUCAUAGGCAUUGUUUCCCCAAGCAGUUAGUGUCUGAAAGUGUCACGGAUUGUGCAAGGAUAGCGCUUCAACGAUUCCUGUAGACCGUACACUCGGGCAGGAGCUAUGCCAAAGGGUCCCCAUGCCCCCUUAUAACCCCACAGUUUAAUGUGAAGCUCAAUGUAAUACAUUGGGUAAAAAACCGAA
rnacentral:misc_RNA from 1 species